UUGAAAGCGAUGAAUGAGAAUAUCUUUUUGAAAGUUUCAAGAGAGCAAAUGUUUGGUGAGAAUUUGUAUCCGUAAAAAAGAGAUCCGCUCAGGAGCAGUCGGUGAAGAAUCGAACGAGUGAUUUCGUUAUAAAAUCAAUGAGGGAAAUUUAUUAAAUUUCUGAAUAUGGGUGGCACCGCGAUAACUUCGUCCCAAUG
rnacentral:ncRNA from 1 species